GCAUAAUCAAUAGUUUUUUAAUUGAGAACUGGAAUGAAGGGUAGUUACUAAAAAGAAAGUUUUAUUAAAAAAAUUUUUGAACUUAAAUUAGAAGUAAGAAUGCUUUUAUUACUCCUUAGGACGAGAAGACCCUAGAAGCUUUUUUAGAUAAAAAUAUCUAUUAGAUUGGGGCAAUUAAUGAAGAAAAAUAUUUUUAUAACUAUUAGUUAAAUUAGAUGGUAAGUUACUCUAGGGAUAACAGCGUUAUUUAAUUUACAAGUUCUUAUUAAUAAUUAAGCUUGCGACCUCGAUGUUGAAUUAAUA
rnacentral:rRNA from 1 species